AUCGCUCAAUGUUACUGACAUGGUCCAGACGUGAAAAUGACUUUUAAAUUACUUGUAUUAUGUUGUGUUAUUCUGUUUUUUGGAACUGUGCAACCAUUGUCCGGAAAUCUUUGUACACGAGUUGUGAGGGCCUUCCAAUAUCAUAGAUAUUGUAGAUGUCGGGUGUGGGGUUGGUGCACUCACUGGAAAGGCGUAAGACGUCCAUACUACUACCCAGAGAACUACUGUUGUCCAGGAUGGAAGCAUGAUGGAGACCAAAACUGCAAUAUCCCUAUUUGUUCCCCAAGCUGUCGAAACGGUGGGACGUGUAUCAGGCCUAAUGUGUGUGACUGUCCUGCAGGAUAUACUGGAGACAUAUGUUCUGGAAUUGCAGUUUGUUCACAUUUGCAUCCCUGUUACCCUGGGCGAUGCUAUGGAAACAAUCUGUGCAUGUGCUCAGACGGUUUCGUUGGAAGUACCUGUAAAACUCUACAGAGUGAUGAAUUCAAACCUUUGAUAGAGAAAGGCAAUGCGACGUUUGCUAAGUACAGUUAUACAACAAAGAAAUUUGAUUACGAAUUUAUGACAGACGCAACGAAUACAUCAGAGGUCGACCUAGUUUGGACGAAUUCGAAUGAGUUUAAUAUAAUGAACUUCGACAUUGAUGCCUCCAUAGAUGUCAAUUAUACAUUUCGUCAUAUUCCACCUGUACCAGCAUACAUCAGUUACAUGAAGUUUGGAAUAGUAGAUGCAAACGUGUUAGUUGUUCACCUUAAACUUGGACAAAGUGGCGAAUACGAAGUAAACAGGGAAACUUUUACUUGUACCCAGCCUUCCAAUGACAAUCCAAUAGCUAAUACAGUUCUAAAAUGUAGGAUGAAUAAUGGUACCAAUGUAUUCCAGGUGGAUUCAGGAGACAGAUAUUUUCUGACUUACACAGUAACCACAGGCGGAUAUCGACAACUUAUUAAUACAAACAAUAACCAAAUGUAUAGUAAAGAGAUAUAUGAUGGAGUUAGUUCUCAGCAGAAUAUGGAGUAUCGGUUUGACUACGAUAAGCCAGUUCACUGUAAAGAAUUCAACACUUGCAUUUCUGAUGAAGUUCCACUUCAGCUAGAAGAGGAUAUUACUAGGAGACCAAUUAAGCCAAAAUGGUCUGGAUGGUCCGAUAGUAAUUUGUCUGGGGUAAAACGGUACGCAUUUGAAGUAUGGAAGAUGGAAUAUAGUCUUGAUUAUUCAGUUUUAAGAGAACCAGAUAUUUUGCCAAAUUAUAAUCCAGUACCAGAGUUUAUAACCGAGGUACUAGCAAGCAACAAUACAUUCCCAGAAUAUGAACCCAAGGGACCAGGGGUCUAUUCAACAAUACUUGAAGUUGCUGACAAAGCAAAUAAUUCUAGAUAUGUGAGAAGAAUAGCAAUAUUCGACAAAACAUCAAAUAUAUCCACUAAGUCAAGUCAUCGGUUGUUCGUUUCAUCGGCAUCAAAUCAGUCCAACUACAGCUGGCAGACGACCCCUAACAAUCAACAGACGACCACUUUGAUGGUACAAUGGGAAAACCAUUUUAUCAACGAAGUACAUGAAAAUGGUCAUUUCUUGGCAAGAGUCCAAGACUAUACCCGAAGACUCAUUGACGAUGUCAAGAGAGCGGACUAUAAAGAAAUUGAAUCUCAAUUUGAUGAUAAUGAAGGUAACAGAUCUAAAGUUGAAAUAUCAAAUAUUAAUUCUAUUGUUGAAUUUGAAAUACGCCACGGUACACCUAAUACGGAACCACCAACAAAUGGUUGGCAAAACGUUCUUCCACUGAAAGAAAACCAAAGUAUUGUGCUGAGUGGCGUGAAUAUUCGAGAUGGGGAUUCAUACCAAGUUUGGGUUCGUGCAAUUGAUGCUAUGGGGAAUAAAAAGAUUGAUUCAACAGUAGUACAUUUCGAUCACAGCCAACCGCUAGUGUACCCUCCUACGUUUAAAAAAAAUGUCGACGAUGGACAGUUUCCCUUUUCAAGCAGAGUAACUGUCGAUGCCAAAGAUAUACACAGUGGAAUCAGUAAAGUUUCGUUCAAGUUCGUGGUUGAAAGCACAGGGGAAGUGAAGAACCAGAAAGACUUCAUUGUCGAAUCACAGACACAACAAAUUUGCGAUCAGUUUUCUGAAUGUUCCUGCAUUCCUAAGGGGGAAUGUUUCAUGCAUGAAAUAGUCCUGGAUAUUGAUAACUGCUGGCUCAAAGUUCCAAUUGAUAGAGUUGAAGAUGAAGUUCAUAUUCUUCAGAUUUCUGUAUACAACUUAGCAAUGUUAUCUAAUAUGACUACAUACAAUCUAGGAGAAGUGGACAGCUUCAAUGGAAUACAAGAAUAUUAUAGUCCAUCAAACAUUACUAUAUUGAAAACAUCAGACACAAGUUUGAGUAUAAGCUGGAUUCAGGCACCUACCUGUUAUGAACGUGCUGGUAUUCUCAUCCGGUUAUUCCGACCUGAUAAUUCCACAAGGGAUUUCAAAGUACAUAAAGAUGCGACAACGUUUGACCUAACAGGACUGUCACCUACAACCCAUUAUUGGUUUAAAUUGUUUACUAAAUAUGGCAAUGACACAAAAUUUGUUAUGAGCGGAUCUCCUGCAAUACUCAAAUUCCAAACAGCUGAGGCAUCUGUAGGAUUCCCACCAGGCGGUGUUGCAGGAUUAUCUGCCGGGUUUAUAUUGCUUUUGAUUGCUGUUGUGGUGGUUCUGUUAUUUCUUGGACGUACUGGACGUUUACAGCCCGCUAAAGCAAGAAUGACACAAGGAAUAAGAACUAUUCGUAAUACAAUCCGUGUUCGCUCACAUACCAAUGCUAGAUAUAAUAUUCGGGCGUAUAGCUCUAAGUUUGAUGAUGACAUAUAUUUCUAUGGACAACUGGAAUCUUCUGGCGCUACGAAUCUAAAGAUUUCACGUAAAGACAUAUCCAUGGAAUCCGAGUUAGCACAAGGAAGAUUUGCAACAAUUUAUUUAGCCAAAUACUAUGGCAACCAUCGUGACGCCCAAACCGUUGUUGCUAAAGUUUUAAAAGAUGACCAAAAAGAAGAGAAUGUUAUGAAGAUGAAGGCUAAAAUCAACUUUUACAUAGAAAAAGUCGGACAUCACAAAAACGUUGUAGAUUUUAUAGGAUAUGUAGAAGACGAUUUUAGAGGAGCAUUUAUGGUACUGGAAUAUUGUGAAAGUGGGGUAUUGAAGGAGUUCCUUAUCUCAAAGAAGUCCGAAGUUACUGUUGAUUUGGAAGAAAGGCCGUUUAGAAUGGUCUUUGGAAUCUGUCUUGGAAUGGACUAUUUAUCAUCUAAAAAGGUUGUCCACAGAAGAUUAGCAGCCAGAAAUGUUCUUUUGGAUCAUUUGUUUGAACCGAAGAUAACUGGAUUUGGACCAGAACCCGAAGCGGAACAAGAGGGGGAAGAACGUAUACUACUGAAAUGGAUGGCACCAGAAUGUAUGAAAACAACAAAGCAUGCAAAUGAAUUGAGUGACGUGUUCUCUUUCGGUAUUGUUAUGAAGUAAAUAUUUUCAUUGGGCGACACACCUUACCCUGGAAUACAAAGCAGGGAAGUUGCAACUAGACUUUAACAAGGAUACAAAAUGAAGAAACCAGAGUACUGUGAUGAUGCCUUCUAUAAGAUCAUGUUGAAAUGCUGGCAUUAUCAUCCAAACAAACGUUCAGGUUUUGCGGAGGUAAAGGAUCAGCUGUCGAACAUGUUCCAGGAAGGAUCAAGUGAAGAAUAUUACUACCGGACGAAUGAUCUGUAAAUCAGGCACUACUACCGGACGAAUGAUCAAUAAUUCAGACAAAACUGAACGUAUAUAAAAGAAAAGAAUACGAAUUGUAUCUAUAAACGUUCGUUUAUUUCUGUCUUGACAAUAUUCAGAUUUGAUAUAUAUAUAAAAAAAUAAAUAAUUUAUGAUGUACACUGAUAAAUAAUUUUAUUCUAUUUGAAUUUAGUAUUAUAUAGUGUAGGUUUGUUUGCCUUUUCUUUCUCUGUGUAUAUAUAAGCAGUAAUUUUUUUAUUUUUUUUAUUUUGUGUGGGGGCGAUAAAAGUCCCAUGUAUAAAAAAUUAAUUCUGUAUUUAUAGUUUGUAAAUCUAUUCUUUGUUUUAAAGUUUGUAAAGUGAACACUUGAAUAAGGUAAAUGAGGAUAGUAAUUUUUCAAGUAUUGCCCUUGUUAAAGAUUUCUGUUUGGGGUCUGAGAUGAACUUUGGAAAGGACAAUUUCACCUUCCACUCCAUAACACUCUGUUAUCCAUAGAACUACUUGAAAAAUUGGUAUAUCGCAUUCUCCAGGUAUUCUAUUUGUACUGCUCUUCGAAUUUGUCCUUAUUAAGUGGUUGAUUGUGUAAGGAUAUUGAACUUGUCCAUAAUGAUUGAUAACCUCUCUGUCAUUUUAUUAGACAAUGCCUUCGAAAAGUUUUGACAAUGACCCAUAAAUUUUUAUUCUUUGAAAAUAUACACAUCAAGUACAUUUCUGACAAAAUAUUGAAUUAUCAUACAAAACUUGAUGUUAUUUCAUUUACUUGUUUUCAUUUUAAUAUUCAUUGACUUUUUUUGUACCAAACAAUUAAUAUGAAAAUCAAGGGAAAUCAUAUAACCACCAAAAACAUAAAUUUUAAAAUAUUUACAUCUCAAAAGCAGUCACGCAAAUUUAUCUUUUACUAUGAUUUAGAUGCAUUGGCAUUUCUCAACUAUUUAUAUAGUUAAGAAUUUAGCGUCUUAAUAUGAUUUUCCCUAACUUCAAACUAGUUGCAUUCACUAUAAAUUUCGAAAGUCGGAAAGUUAAUUGUUUUGUUUUGUCAAUUUUUUUUUUUCAUUCUUCAUAUUGAGUUACCCUUUAGGUCGAAAUAACUGGCCGGCAUUAGCUUAUAUUGUUUAUAGAUUUUUUAUCUCUCUCAUUCUAAUUUUUAAUGAAUUGUCAAUAUCUGUGGAUCUGCUUAUCCUUCCGCAGCACCUCAGAUUCUCCCGCCCCCAUGUUUUAGUGAGGUUCUUGUUGCUCAGACUUUGUGUUUUGGGUUCUGUUGUUUGUUUGUCUUUUUCUUUUUAGCCAUGGCGCUAUCAGUUUGUUUUCAACUUGUGAAUUUAACAGUCCCUUUGUAUCCUUCGCCCCUCUUUCAAUAACUAUAUUUGAAUAAAAUUGCGUAAAAGUAUAUGAUGGUGAAAUCUGUAUUUUUUUUUUCAAAUAUUAUAUUAUACGUUUGAAAUCGUUUAACCUAUUGAAAUCGUUUGAAAUUGUUAAGAUGUCCAAAGUAUUGUAUUUGUAAUGCUGAGUGAACCAGCUUAUGUCAUGGAUUGAACUUGAAAUAUCCUUCAAGUACACGUUCAACUUCAAAUUAUUAUAUUAUACAUUUGAAAUCGUUAAACCAUUUCACCUUAACUGCUAACAUUUAUACACAUAAUAUCUCUUGUCUACUGUAUCAUUAUAGCUAUAACAAAAUUCAGGACAAAUGUGCAAUCAAAAUUCAUCUAUUGUUUUUGUAUGAAGCUUUAAAAGAGCAUCAAUUAUAUAAUGAUAAAAAUAAUCUGAUAUAUGUUAAUUAUACUAUUUUCCAUCCAUGUAUUGUCUGUUUCAGCUUUAUUAACACAUAUAUUCAAUAAAAAAAAGUAACAGUUAACUUA